AGUGAACGCUGGCGGUAGGCCUAACACAUGCAAGUCGAACGGCAGCACAGUAAGAGCUUGCUCUUACGGGUGGCGAGUGGCGGACGGGUGAGGAAUACAUCGGAAUCUACUUUUUCGUGGGGGAUAACGUAGGGAAACUUACGCUAAUACCUCAUACGACCUACGGGUGAAAGCAGGGGAUCUUCGGACCUUGCCCGAUUGAAUGAGCCGAUGUCGGAUUAGUUAGUUGGCGGGGUAAAGGCCCACCAAGCCGACGAUCCGUAGCUGGCCUGGGAGGAUGAUCAGCACAAUGGGAACUGAGACACGGUCCAGACUCCUACGGGAGGCAGCAGUGGGGAAUAUUGGACAAUGGGCGCAAGCCUGAUCCAGCCAUACCGCGUGGGUGAAGAAGGCCUUCGGGUUGUAAAGCCCUUUUGUUGGGAAAGAAAAGCAGCAGGUUAAUACCCCGCUGUUCUGACGGUACCCAAAGAAUAAGCACCGGCUAACUUCGUG
rnacentral:rRNA from 1 species